UGGGGAAUAUUGGACAAUGGGGGCAACCCUGAUCCAGCCAUGCCGCGUGAGUGAUGAAGGCCUUAGGGUUGUAAAACUCUUUCACCGGUGACGAUAAUGACGGUAGCCGGAGAAGAAGCCCCGGCUAACUCCGUGCCAGCAGCCGCGGUAAUACGGAGGGGGCUAGCGUUGUUCGGAAUUACUGGGCGUAAAGCGCGCGUAGGCGGAUUGGUCAGUUGGAGGUGAAAUCCCGGGGCUCAACCCCGGAACUGCCUUCAAUACUGCCAAUCUUGAGUUCGGGAGAGGUGAGUGGAAUUCCGAGUGUAGAGGUGAAAUUCGUAGAUAUUCGGAGGAACACCAGAGGCGAAGGCGGCUCACUGGCCCGAUACUGACGCUGAGGCGCGAAAGCGUGGGGAGCAAACAGGAUUAGAUACCCGCGUAGUCC
rnacentral:rRNA from 1 species